GUGUGGAUCCACUCUUGGACUUGGGAAUCCAGGCUCAGGCCUGGUUAGUGGUCGGAUGGGAAACCACCUGAGAAUGUCAGGUGCUCUAAGCU
rnacentral:rRNA from 1 species